rnacentral:rRNA from 1 species
GACGAACGCUGGCGGCGUGCUUAACACAUGCAAGUCGAACGGAAAGGCCCUGCUUUUGUGGGGUGCUCGAGUGGCGAACGGGUGAGUAACACGUGAGUAACCUGCCCUUGACUUUGGGAUAACUUCAGGAAACUGGGGCUAAUACCGGAUAGGAGCUCCUGCUGCAUGGUGGGGGUUGGAAAGUUUCGGCGGUUGGGGAUGGACUCGCAGCUUAUCAGCUUGUUGGUGGGGUAGUGGCUUACCAAGGCUUUGACGGGUAGCCGGCCUGAGAGGGGGACCGGCCACAUUGGGACUGAGAUACGGCCCAGACUCCUACGGGCGGCAGCAGUGGGGAAUAUUGCACAAUGGGCGGAAGCCUGAUGCAGCAACGCCGCGUGCGGGAUGACGGCCUUCGGGUUGUAAACCGCUUUCGCCUGUGACGAAGCGUGAGUGACGGUAAUGGGUAAAGAAGCACCGGCUAACUACGUG